UGGGCGUAUACCACUUGCCACAAUGAUAUAGGUAUAUAAAUUUUGAGCAUAUUCUAUGGACUAAAACUGGAAUUAUACCAUUGUUUUUAAAGUCUAAAAAGAGAGAGAGCUCUGUUUGUUUUUUGACAGGUGUCUAGAGAAGUGAUGUUUGGGCACUACGUUUAUAUAUAAUGUAUAGAUUUUGAGUAUAUUCUAGGGAUUAAAACUGAAAUUAUACCUGUAGCAACGUAAAAGUUUUUUGC
rnacentral:lncRNA from 1 species